AGUACGUGUGAUCGGCAAUGCCUGGACAUACUAUCUGGAUGCAUGGUUAACUUUGCACAUGAAGAUGAUGCUACUAGUAUACGAGAUAUCCAGAUUUUUCACUUUGGUCCUGCUUUGUUUGAGAAGAAAACCAGGGGAAACUUCUAUGAUCAUGGUUCCUCUAGACAUCAGUGAGAGAAAUGUAAAUGUUGUGCGCUGUUGCCCCAGGGGGAAAUAGCGGUUAUCUUCUCAUUAAGUCUGCCACCUUGAACUUUAGUGUUGUCUAUGGGUAACAGAUUCCAGUAGUCUGCCAUUUUGAACUUCUGUAGUGAGCUAUGACUACCAGGUUCAAACAUUUUAUGCAAGACACAAAAUGUUACAGAUUU